AAAAUCAUAUAUAUCAUUUAUCUACGAUAAUAAUAUCGAGAUAUAAUACGCCUGGCAUAUAUUGAAACGAAUGGGAUACCGGUUCCAAUUCCAGUAACCUGUUGAGUAUCGUGUUGAUAAUAAUACGGGACUUGUGGUCAUCACUGGAUACAAGAACGAACUAUAAAGAAAGCCGACGGAGUGAUAUCCGGAAGAGGUUGUCCUUAUCUGUUUUAUAGCCGUACUACCAUGGAAGUCUUUCGCAGAGAGAUAUGGUAGAUGGGCUAGAAGAGCAUGACAUAUACUGUUGUGUCGAUAUUUUCUCCUCGGACCUUGAAAAUUUAUGGUGGGGACACGCAAACUUCUCAACAGGCCGUACCAAUAUCCGCAGCUGGUCUCCAAGGUGAAGAGUCUCUAGUCGAUAGAAUAAUGUAGGUAAGGGAAGUCGGCAAAUUAGAUCCGUAACUUCGGGAUAAGGAUUGGCUCUGAAGAUUGAGAUAGUCGGGCUUGAUUGGGAAACAAUAACAUGGUUUAUGUGCUCGUUCUGGGUAAAUAGAGUUUCUAGCAUUUAUGUUAGUUACUUGUUCCCCGGAUAGUUUAGUUACGUAGCCAAUUGUGGAACUUUCUUGCUAAAAUUUUUAAGAAUACUAUUUGGGUUAAACCAAUUAGUUCUUAUCAAUUAUAACGAUUAUCAAUUAACAAUCAAUUCAGAACUGGCACGGACUUGGGGAAUCCGACUGUCUAAUUAAAACAAAGCAUUGUGAUGGCCCUAGCGGGUGUUGACACAAUGUGAUUUCUGCCCAGUGCUCUGAAUGUCAAAGUGAAGAAAUUCAAGUAAGCGCGGGUCAACGGCGGGAGUAACUAUGACUCUCUUAAGGUAGCCAAAUGCCUCGUCAUCUAAUUAGUGACGCGCAUGAAUGGAUUAACGAGAUUCCUACUGUCCCUAUCUACUAUCUAGCGAAACCACAGCCAAGGGAACGGGCUUGGAAUAAUUAGCGGGGAAAGAAGACCCUUUUGAGCUUGACUCUAAUCUGGCAGUGUAAGGAGACAUAAGAGGUGUAGAAUAAGUGGGAGAUAUUAGACCUCGGGUUUGGUAUCGUCAAUGAAAUACCACUACUCUUAUUGUUUCCUUACUUACUUGAUUAAAUGGAACGUGUAUCAUUUCCUAGCCAUUAUACGGGAUAUAUUUAUUAUAUCUUAUGGUAUUGGGUUUUGAUGCAAGCUUCUUGAUCAAAGUAUCACGAGUUUGUUAUAUAAUCGCAAACAAAUUCUUUAAUAAAACGAUGCAUUUAUGUAUUUUUGAUUUGAAAAUUUGGUAUAACUCCAAUUACUCAGGUAUGAUCCAAUUCAAGGACAUUGCCAGGUAGGGAGUUUGACUGGGGCGGUACAUCUCUCAAAUAAUAACGGAGGUGUCCCAAGGCCAGCUCAGUGCGGACAGAAACCACACAUAGAGCAAAAGGGCAAAUGCUGACUUGAUCUCGGUGUUCAGUACACACAGGGACAGCAAAAGCUCGGCCUAUCGAUCCUUUUGGUUUAAAGAGUUUUUAACAAGAGGUGUCAGAAAAGUUACCAUAGGGAUAACUGGCUUGUGGCGGCCAAGCGUUCAUAGCGACGUCGCUUUUUGAUCCUUCGAUGUCGGCUCUUCCUAUCAUUGUGAAGCAAAAUUCACCAAGCGUUGGAUUGUUCACCCAUGCAAGGGAACGUGAGCUGGGUUUAGACCGUCGUGAGACAGGUUAGUUUUACCCUACUAAUGACAAAACGUUGUUGCGACAGCAUUCCUGCGUAGUACGAGAGGAACCGCAGGUACGGACCAAUGGCACAAUACUUGUUCGAGCGAACAGUGGUAUGACGCUACGUCGUUGGAUUAUGCCUGAACGCCUCUAGA
rfam:Drosophila sechellia strain Rob3c scaffold_6347 genomic scaffold, whole genome shotgun sequence.